GCAAAUCAAUUUAAUCUGAAAUAUAAUAAUUUACUUUAUUUUGUUGAAUAUUUAAGUUUUUAGUAAAAUAGUUAAUUGUUGUUGUAUUUAUUUGAGAUUUAAUAUUUUUGGUUAUAGUUUAUUUGUACUUUGAAGGAUUAUGUUUUAGUAUAAAUAUUUUAUUUAUAAAAGUUGAUUUAUUUUAUUGUACCUUGUGUAUCAGGGUUUAUUAAAAAUUAAAUAUUUAUUUUAUUAUUCCCGAUUUUAGGAGAGCUAUAAAUUCUAUAUUAGCUAGUGUAAUAUAAUUAUUAAUAAUAGAUUUAUAGGGAUGAGAUGUUAAUCGUUCUUAAAGGUUUCUGGUUUUUUGAGAAAUGAAUUUAAUUCAGGUAAUUUUUUUAUAUAAUUUUAUUUAUUAAUUAAUAUUAAAUAUUUACUAAUAUUUUGAGGGAUGAGCUUUGAAGUAUAAAUUAAUAAACUUUUUUUUUUGUUAAGUGUUAUGGAUUUAAAAAUGAUUAUAAAUUUGAAUUUGUUAUAAUUUUACUUAUUUAUUAAGUUAUUUUUGUUGGUUUUUGAUUUUUUAUUAAAUAUUUUCAAUAAAUUAUUUAUUGAUAGUCAUUAUGAUAAAAUUAGUAUAAUAUUUAUUUGUAUAUUUAUUUAUUUAUUGUUAAAAGAUUAUUAGGAAUUAGGCAAAUAUUGUGUUCGCCUGUUUAACAAAAACAUCUCUUUUUGUAUGUAUAUAAAGUAUAACCUGCCCACUGAUGUAGUUUGAAUGGCCGCGGUAAUUUGACCGUGCAAAGGUAGCAUAAUCAUUAGUCUCUUAAUUAGAGGCUGGAAUGAAUGGUUGGACGAGAUACAAUCUGUCUUUUAAUUUAUAUUUAGAAUUUAAUUAUUAAGUAAAAAAGCUUAAAUUUUGUUAUGGGACGAGAAGACCCUAUAGAGUUUAAAGUAUUAAUUUUGGUGUUUAGUUUGAUUAAUAAUUUUAAAAUUGAAUUAUUUUUUGUUGGGGUGAUGGGAAGAUAAAAUAAACUCUUUUUAUUGAUUUAUAUUAAUUUAUAUAUUUUUGAUCCAAUAAUAUUGAUUAUAAGACUAAAUUACCUUAGGGAUAACAGCGUAAUCUUUUUUGAGAGUUCUUAUCGACAAAAGGGGUUGCGACCUCGAUGUUGGAUUAAGAUAAACAUUAGGUGCAAAAGUUUAAUUUGUUAGGUCUGUUCGACCUUUAAAAUCUUACAUGAUCUGAGUUCAAACCGGCGUGAGCCAGGUUGGUUUCUAUCUAUAACAUUAUUUGAUAUUUUAGUACGAAAGGACCAAAUAUUAUAAAUAAUUUUAAUUUUUUGAAUAUUGUUAAUUAACUAUUUUGGCAGAUAAGUGCAGUGGAUUUAGAAUCUAUUUA
rnacentral:rRNA from 1 species